rnacentral:rRNA from 1 species
AUACGAGGGGUGCAAGCGUUAAUCGGAAUUACUGGGCGUAAAGCGUUCGUAGGCGGUUUGUUAAGCAAGAUGCGAAAGCCCUGGGCUCAACCUGGGAACUGCAUUUUGAACUGGCAAGCUAGAAUACUGUAGAGGGUGGUGGAAUUUCCAGUGUAGCGGUGAAAUGCGUAGAGAUUGGAAGGAACAUCAGUGGCGAAGGCGGCCACCUGGACAGAUAUUGACGCUGAGGAACGAAAGCGUGGGGAGCGAACAGGAUUAGAAACCCCUGUAGUCC